GGGGGCGAAUUGGGUUCGACCGGGCAGUCUGAAGUGUAAGUGGCGUGCCGUGGUUGGUCAGCGGGCCACGAUAAAAGCUGACCAGACUAUUAAUUGCCGAGGAUAACCUCGUCCUGGCUGCGUAAAAACACGUAGCCCCGGCUGCGGGCUUUUGCCGAAGAGGCCCAAAAGCCGGCCACCAAUUUCGGCUCGUCCCGGGUCAUUGUUGGGCACGCCCGGGACUAGACCUGUUCCCGACUAGCCGGCCUGGCACCCCGUCGGUUGGGGGCCAGACAGGCGAAACACCAAAUGAUCCGACUACGCACGUAGAAGCUUGCAUGGAAAUGUCGCGGGACGCGGGUUCGAUUCCCGCCGCCUCCACUU
rnacentral:tmRNA from 1 species